GGGACCUGUGCAUCAUGCCUUGUGUGUGUGUGUGUGGAGGGGGGGGUGCGGGGGUGUGGAUGUGGGCAUCCAUUCAGGGUUUGUUGAGAGCAUGCUUAGUAUCUGUGGUGUCCUUUUGGGCAGAGUGUACAUCUGUGAGAAUAAAACUUUGAUGUGGGAUGCCAAAGUGGGGAGCUGGAAAUGGAAAGUAGCUUCUGGCACACAGUAGGGACUCCCUGCCAUUGGUGUGCAAGGGGCCUUAGGAUUGGACACAUGCUGGCACCUGAUUACGAGGAUGGGUCAGACAUUCUAGGACCCACAAGGAGCCUACAGUGGAGCUUGGCAAGAUGGACAGGCACGGAAGGAGCAACUGUGAGCCCCACAAGUUUCCCAAGACCAGAGCCUCCCACAGCUGGUGCACUGUAGAUUGGCUGGGCCUCUGAUUAUGGUGAGACUUCCCAGUAGGGAAGGAUGUGUGAUCAGCUGAUGGAGUAUUAUUUUUCAUUGUAAAUGAGUAAAGUGACUUCACUGUGAAUGUGGGGCAUGCCAGUCAUCCCGUCUCUGAAAUCAUGGACUCAGCCAACCUACAGUGCUACAGACUGGCUCUCUGAAGGAAGCCACCUCUAUCCAGGACAUCUCUCCAUCUUAUCCUGUGCUACACACACACACACACACACACACACACACACACACACACACACACAAACAUACACACAUGAAACCUUUGCUUUUUAAAAUAAAAGUCAAAUCAUGUCACUCCUUUGCUCAAAACCUUGCUAUAGCUUCCUGUUUCUCAUGGAGUAAAAACCAGUUAUACAGGCUAUCUCUGCCUCUCACCUCUUUGGCCUUAUCUCCCUCCAGCCACACUGGCCACCUUGCUGACCCUCAAACUCACCAGGCACCCUCCUGCCUCAGGGCUUUUCCACUGACUCUUCCCUCUGGCUAGAUGCUCUUUCCCCAGAUAACUGCAAGCUCACUCCCUUGCCUCCUUCAAGACUGCUCAAAUUUCACCUUCUCAAUAAGGCCCACUAAGACCACUGUAUAGUGGUCAGCACUCUUCUUAUCUCUUGUCCCUUGUCUGACUUUUUCUUUUUUCCAGAGUACUUACCACUUUCUAAUAUACCACAUAAUUUACUUAUUUAUCACAAUUAUUGUCUACUGUCUCUUCCUCCACUAGAAUGCUAGUUUCAUGAGGCAGAUUUUUGUGUUGUCCACUGAUGUCUUCCAGUUGCCUAGAAUAAUGCUCAGCAUUCAAUAUAUGUGUUUUGAAUGACUCUAUGAAUGGAUGAUUUGAUGUAAACUAGAAAAAAAAUCCUAUUGUGCUUGUUUCAGUGAGUUCAAUUACAUAACCCCAAGUUCACUCCACAGUUGCCAGGAUGAAUUUGUGAGUGUGGUGGGUGUGUUGAGGGGGUUAGGUAUUAGCCAAGCUGAGCCCCUGCUCCCCAGCUCCCCUGGAGUGGGUCUCCUAGAGAGCAGGACCCUCGAGGAGAUGCAUCACAUUGGGGCAGGGCUCACAUUUCGGGGCCGGAUGGGGACCCUCUCAUUGUCCUCAUUCAUGCCGGGAAUGACGACCGUCAUGCGCCGAGGACCUCGGAAGCCCAGCACAUUGGUUUCCUGGGAGGGAGAUGCCUGUUAGGCCGGCCCCUGCAAGGGGAGGGUCCUGCCAUGGGAGACCGGUGGAGUUCUCACAUAGAUCACAGCUGCCAGCUCCUGCCGAAGGCUCCCCACAUCAGUGCCACCUCCUCCACGCUGAGGGUUCUGUCCAUUGUCAAAGACAGUAAAGCGGUUGCCCAGGAGGUUGGACCUGAAAGCAGGGUAGAAUUAGGGGCAGGACUGAGGGAAUUCCACACCCCUAUUCCAAGAUCCUCACAGCCAAGCCAUUUUGAGAGCCUCCUACUUUAAGGGUAGGAAUGUUUUAGGCCAGAGCAGUUCAUGUCCCCUGUCCCACGUUUCCCCCAUGAGGUCUUUUUAAAAGCUGGAUCUAGAUGCUUACUUGGUUGAUAAGAGGAUUAAAUGGGUUAAUAUUUGGAAGUUACUUAGAACUACCCCUGACACAUAGGUAGGCCUUACAGAAGUGUUUGUUAUAUACAAUAAGGUCUGACUUAGGGGUUCACUUUCCUCUCACCUCUCAGAUUUGUGGUGAGGAUUAGAUGGGAUAUAUGGGGAGACUCAGCAUAGGGUAAGGAUAAAUAUUUGCUCAUUCAUUUACUUAGCAAGUAUUUAUUGAGUAGUUAUUAUGUACCAGUGCUGGAAAUUCAGUCAUGAAGAAGACAAGCCCAGCCCCAGCCCUCAUGGUCCUUGCACCCUACUGCAAGUGAGGUCCCCAGACCAGCAGUGAGGCCAUUGCCUGGGUGCUUGUUGGAAGUGCAGACUCUCGCCCCCAACCCAGACCCACUGAACCAUUUUAACAACACCCCCAAGUGAUCUAUGCAUGGCAUGGUGUGAGAAGCCCUGUGACAGGGGACUUUCCCCGAGUGUCCAACACGGUGGGCACUCUCCCAGGCACAGGGAGACAGUGGUGACUGGCCAAGGCCCUCUUGCUGCCCUAAGCCUCCCAGCCUCACCUCAGCUUCCCGACGAAAUUCUCUCCUCCUCGGGACAGAUUGGUAGGGUCACUAGAGAUGAGGUAAUUGGCUGUCUUGCUCCGUUUCCUUUUCCUGCCAGCCAAGAGGAACACCUGGGGAGAGAGGGAGACAGGCGAGUGGAUUGGAAGAGAAGAUGGGGUGAGGAAGGAGGUGGGUGAGGAGAAGGAGAAAUCUGUUUGCCCUUUAGGCCUAGGCCCCUAUUUUGGCUCUAGACCCUCACUGAGCCAGGUUUCUGGUAGCUCUACUCCUCCUCCCUGCCGCCUGCCCUGCCCACCUUCUUCUCUGUGUCCAGGUGCAGGAAGUAGGAAGGAUACAGGCCCCGAUCCAUGCCCCUCUUGUUCCGGGUCAGCCUGCAGCGCACUGUCCAGCCCUGGGGGGCAGGCUGAAGCAUCAACUCCUGGGGUUCAUGCACUCCCACAGGUGGGGAUAGAACCCUCUCCUCCUUCUGGGGGAUGGGGGCAAAGGGUAUACAUCAACCCCAGAGCACCAGCUCCCCUGUCCUCAGCAGGUCCCCAGUGCUGGGACUAGUCAGGGCUGGCAGGACAACUCACUGCUUUCUGAGUGGGGAGAGAAGGGAGAGGCCAGUGGGGCUGCCUCACACUUCCCCAGGAUCUGGCAGGCCAUGUGAGGAGGCUAGGGGAGCUAUCCUUCACUAUUAGUUUGUUUGGCUUAUAGUGAAGAGCCCAGCCUCUGGAGCCAGACAACCUGGUUCAAAUCUUAGUUCCGCUACUUAGCACUUGUUAAGUUUUAACUACACUGUGACUCAGUUUUUUUCAUCUGACAAGUACAUAGGGUGAGUUGGACACCUGGGACAGACCUUACUUAAUUCAUAUAUUUAACAAACACAUGUAAGGUUUACCAAUGUGCCAGGCAUAAUUCUAAGAACUUUCCAAAUAUCAACUCAUUUAAUUUUCUUAUCAAUAUCUGCUGCAGUAGUCCCAUUUUACAGAUAAAGAAGCUGAGGCUCAGCGACUAAGGUAUUUGUCCAAGUUCACAUAGGUAGUAAGAGGUGGAGCUGGGCUAUGAAUGCUGCUCAGUCUCCUGUCAGAUCCAGAGCCUUUAGAAAGACCUUCCUUCAUGUGGACACUAUAUCAGGGGAUGACCUGAGUUGAGGCCGAAGGUAUGAAUUGCUAUGUUCUAAGCAUGUAACACUAUAGAAGUGUUAGCUACUACUGAUAUUAUAGCAUAUAGUACAUACUCAAUGAAGGUAGUAGCCAACCUUCGCAGUGGUGCCCCGUGAUUCUUGCCUCCUGAUAUUUAUGCCCUCUGUUGUCCCCUGCCACACUAUAUCAGGGUUGGUCUGUGACCAGUAGAAUAUGGCAGUCAGAAGAUAUUGUGGCUUCUCCUUGCUUUCUCUUUUGGGCUCUGGGGGAAGUUGGCUGCCUCCUCAUAAGGACACUCAAGCAGCCCUAUGGAGAGGCCGCCAGCCAACAACAAGGACAGUGAACCAUUUUAGAAGGAGAUCCUCCAUUUCCAGUCAAGCUUUCAGAAUGACUGCCAACCCAGCUAUCAUCCUGACUGCAACUUCAUGAGAGACCCCCAAACCAGACCGACUUGCUAAGCUGCGCCUAGAUGUCUGACUUCCAGAAAUUAAGAAAAUAAAUAUUUGUUGUUUAAAGACA